rnacentral:rRNA from 1 species
AUUGAACGCUGGCGGCAGGCCUAACACAUGCAAGUCGAACGAGUGGCGGACGGGUGAGUCAUGUCUGGGAAACUGCCUGAUGGAGGGGGAUAAAUACUGGAAACGGUAGCUAAUACCGCAUACCAUCAGAUGUGCCCAGAUGGGAUUAGCAAGUUGGUGGGGUAACGGCUCACCAAGGCGACGAUCCCUAGCUGGUCUGCGAGGAUGACCAGCCAAACUGGAACUGAGACACGGUCCAGACUCCUACGGUAGGCUGCAGUGGGGAAUAUUGCACAAUGGGCGCAAGCCUGAUGCAGCCAUGCCGGGUGUAAGAAGAAGGCCUUCGGGUUGUAAAGUACUUUCAGCGUGGAGGCGUUACCCGCAGAAGAAGCACCGGCUAACUCCGUGCCAGCAGCCGCGGUAAUUC